rnacentral:rRNA from 1 species
UACAAAGGGGGCUAGCGUUGCUCGGAAUCACUGGGCGUAAAGCGCACGUAGGCGGACUCUUAAGUCGGUGGUGAAAUCCUGGAGCUCAACUCCAGAACUGCCUUCGAUACUGAGAGUCUCGAGUCCGGGAGAGGUGAGUGGAACUGCGAGUGUAGAGGUGAAAUUCGUAGAUAUUCGCAAGAACACCAGUGGCGAAGGCGGCUCACUGGCCCGGUACUGACGCUGAGGUGCGAAAGCGUGGGGAGCAAACAGG